rnacentral:lncRNA from 1 species
UAGAUUUACUUAAAAAAUAAUUUUCUAAAAAUAUCUCUUUGUUUAAUUAAUUUUUUUAAAAAAUAUCUCUCUAUUUAAUUGAUUUUUUGCUUGUGAUUUUGAUUUCAGUCAUGAAUCGACCAUUCCGAAUCCAAUGCCGGCCGUGAACCAAAUGCACCCUACGUAUCUUAGGAGAAGAUUCCAUUACCUAAUAAUAACUGACCAUCUUUUUUGGGCUAUUUUGGUUGUGAAGUUGUAUGGGUCAUACAACACAUCCACUCUUCAGCUACUAACUUGCUGGAUGGUUGGGAUGGUGACUACAUGGGAUAGUGGC